rnacentral:lncRNA from 1 species
CGGACAUGUCUACAACUGGGUUUAGGGAGAAUUAAAGGUGCUGUCCUGCUGGGAGUAGAGUGUUAAGAGGAGAAUUAAAGGUGCUGUCCUGCUGGGAGUAGACUGUUAAGAGGAGAAUUAAAGGUGCUGUCCUGCUGGGAGUAGAGUGUUAAGAGGAGAAUUAAAGGUGCUGUCCUGCUGGGAGUAGACUGUUAAGAGGAGAAUUAAAGGUGCUGUCCUGCUGGGAGUAGACUGUUAAGAGGAGAAUUAAAGGUUAAGGAGAAGACAUCACACGGUAUUUCCUUGGAGGAAACUGGACACUUUGGAGCGACUGAUCUGAUCUCACAACUGUUCUCGACAAA